AGAGUUUGAUCCUGGCUCAGGAUGAACGCUGGCGGCGUGCCUAAUACAUGCAAGUCGAGCGCCCCUUUGUUUGUUAAUUAUCAUCCGAUAAUUAAUAUACAUGGGGAGCGGCAGACGGGUGAGUAACGCGUGAGAAUCUACCCCAAACUGAGGGAUAAGCCAGAGAAAUCUGGUCUAAUACCGCAUAUGGCCUUCGGGUUAAAGCUUCGGCGGUUUGGGAAGAGCUUGCGUCUGAUUAGUUAGUUGGUAAGGUAAUGGCUUACCAAGACGAUGAUCAGUAGCUGGUCUGAGAGGAUGAUCAGCCACACUGGAACUGAGACACGGUCCAGACUCCUACGGGAGGCAGCAGUAGGGAAUUUUCCACAAUGGACGAAAGUCUGAUGGAGCGACGCCGCGUGCAGGAUGAAGGCCUUAGGGUUGUAAACUGCUUUUAUAGGUGAAGAUUUUGACGGUAACCUAUGAAUAAGGAUCGGCUAACUCCGUGCCAGCAGCCGCGGUCAUACGGAGGAUCCAAGCGUUAUCCGGAAUUACUGGGCGUAAAGAGUUGCGUAGGCGACCUGCCAAGUUUCUACUUAAAGGCUGAGGCUCAACCUCGGAAAUGGUAGAAAAACUGGCAGGAUUGAGAAUGGGAGAGGUAGUUGGAAUUCCCGGUGUAGGAGUGAAAUCCGUAGAUAUCGGGAGGAACACCAAUGGCGAAGGCAGACUACUGGCCCAUUUCUGACGCUGAGGCACGAAAGCGUGGGGAGCGAACGGGAUUAGAUACCCCGGUAGUCCACGCCGUAAACGAUGGAUGCUAGCUGUGGGAGGUAUCGACCCCUUCCGUAGCGAAGCUAACGCGUUAAGCAUCCCGCCUGGGGAGUACGGUCGCAAGAUUAAAACUCAAAGGAAUUGACGGGGACCCGCACAAGCGGUGGAGCGUGUUGUUUAAUUGGAUGAUAAGCCAAGAACCUUACCAGGGUUUGACAUCCCGGGAAAUUCUGGGAAACCAAAGUGUGCCUUCGGGAACCCGGUGACAGGUGUUGCAUGGCCGUCGUCAGCUCGUGUCGUGAGAUGUUGGGUUAAGUCCCGCAACGAGCGCAACCCUUAUGGUUAGUUGAAUUUUUCUAACCAGACUGCCUCGGUAACGGGGAGGAAGGAGGGGAUGAUGUCAGGUCCGUAUUACCCUUACACCCUGGGCUACAAACACGCUACAAUGGCCAGUACAAAGGGCAGCUAAGUCGCAAGGCGGAGCAAAUCCCAUCAAAACUGGUCCCAGUUCGGAUUGCAGGCUGAAACUCGCCUGCAUGAAGUCGGAAUCGCUAGUAACCGUAGGUCAGAACACUACGGUGAAUACGUUCCCGGGUCUUGUACACACCGCCCGUCAUACCAUGGAAGUCGCCAACACCCGAAGUCCGACAUUAGUCGGCCUAAGGUGGGGGAGAUGACUGGGGUAAAGUCGUAACAAGGUA
rnacentral:rRNA from 1 species